GGCGUUGAAGGGCGUAGGCUAUGAUGAUGCCAGGCAAAUCCGGCAUCAGAGCUGAAACCUGAAAGUACGGGGUCCCCUUCGGGGGAACCUGAGAGCGAGGGUAAUCAUACUCCCGAGAAAAUGGGCUAAACUCAUGUUGGCGGUACCCGUACCGCAAACCGACACAGGUAGUUGGGUAGAACAUACUAAGGCGUUGAGAGAUUCAUGGCUAAGGAACUAGGCAAACUGACCCCGUAACUUCGGGAUAAGGGGUCCUCACCUCCGGGUGAGGCGCAGAGAAUAGGUCCAGGCAACUGUUUAACAAAAACACAGGGCUGUGCGAACUCGAAAGAUGAAGUAUACAGCCUGACACCUGCCCGGUGCCGGAAGGUUAAGAGGAGAUGUCACCGCAAGGGAAGCAUUGAAUUGAAGCCCCGGUAAACGGCGGCCGUAACAAUAACGGUCCUAAGGUAGCGAAAUUCCUUGUCGGGUAAGUUCCGACCUGCACGAAUGGUGUAAUGAUCCGGACGCUGUCUCGGCCAUGAGCUCAGUGAAAUUGUAGUAUCGGUGAAGAUGCCGAUUACCCGCGAUGGGACGAAAAGACCCCGUGAACCUUUACUACAGCUUAGCAUUGACCUUGGUCAUCCGAUGUGUAGGAUAGGCCGGAGGCUUCGAAGCGGCGUCGCCAGGCGUUGUGGAGCCAUCCUUGAAAUACGGCCCUUUGGCUGUCUGAGGUCUAACGCGGAUAGUCGCGGACACUGCUUGGUGGGUAGUUUGACUGGGGUGGUCGCCUCCAAAAGCGUAACGGAGGCUUCCAAAGGUGCCCUCGGGCCGUUUGGUAAGCGGCCUUCAAGAGUGCAAUGGCAAAAGGGCGCUUGACUGGGAGGGAGACAUCCCGAGCAGGCAGGAAACUGGGGCAUAGUGAUCCGGCGGAUGUGUAUGGAAACUCCGUCGCUCAAAGGAUAAAAGGUACUCCGGGGAUAACAGGCUGAUCCCCCCCAAGAGCUCAUAUCGACGGGGUGGUUUGGCACCUCGAUGUCGGCUCGUCACAUCCUGGGGCUGGAGAAGGUCCCAAGGGUUGGGCUGUUCGCCCAUUGAAGUGGCACGCGAGCUGGGUUCAGAACGUCGUGAGACAGUUCGGUCUCUAUCUAUCGUGGGCGCAGGAGUUUUGAGUGGUGCUGUCACUAGUACGAGAGGACCGUGACGGACAGACCUCCGGUGUACCGGUUGUGCCGCCAGGCGCACCGCCGGGUAUCCGCGUCUGGAUCGGAUAAGCGCUGAAAGCAUCUAAGUGCGAAGCUUUCCACGAGAUUAGAACUCCAUUGAGGGUCGUCGCAGACGACGACGUUGAUAGGGCGCAGGUGUAAAGACGGCGACGUCAAAGCCGAGCGCUACUAAUUGCCC
rnacentral:rRNA from 1 species